rnacentral:rRNA from 1 species
CGGUAAUUCCAGCUCCAAUANCGUAUAUUAAAGUUGUUGCAGUUAAAAAGCUCGUAGUUGAACUUUGGGCCUGGUUGGCCGGUCCGAUUUUUUCGCGUACUGGUUUCCAACCGGGCCUUUCCUUCUGGCUAACCUUGGGUCCUUGUGGCCCUUGGCGAACCAGGACUUUUACUUUGAAAAAAUUAGAGUGUUCAAAGCAGGCGUAUUGCUCGAAUAUAUUAGCAUGGAAUAAUAGAAUAGGACGUUUGGUUCUAUUUUGUUGGUUUCUAGGACCAUCGUAAUGAUUAAUAGGGACGGUCGGGGGCAUCAGUAUUCAAUUGUCAGAGGUGAAAUUCUUGGAUUUAUUGAAGACUAACUACUGCGAAAGCAUUUGCCAAGGACGUUUUCAUUAAUCAAGAACGAAAGUUAGGGGAUCGAAGAUGAUCAGAUACCGUCGUAGUCUUAACCAUAAACUAUGCCGACUAGGGAUCGGGUGGUGUUUUUUUACUGACCCACUCGACACCUUACGAGAAAUCAAAGUCUUUGGGUCCUGGGGGGAGUAUGGUCGCAAGGCUGAAACUUAAAGGAAUUGACGGAAGGGCACCACCAGGAGUGGAGCCUGCGGCUUAAUUUGACUCAACACGGGGAAACUCACCAGGUCCAGACACAAUAAGGAUUGACAGAUUGAGAGCUCUUUCUUGAUUUUGUGGGUGGUGGUGCAUGGCCGUUCUUAGUUGGUGGAGUGAUUUGUCUGCUUAAUUGCGAUAACGAACGAGACCUUAACCUACUAAAUAGUGGUGCUAGCAUUUGCUGGUUAUCCACUUCUUAGAGGGACUAUCGGUUUCAAGCCGAUGGAAGUUUGAGGCAAUAACAGGUCUGUGAUGCCCUUAGACGUUCUGGGCCGCACGCGCGCUACACUGACGGAGCCAGCGAGUCUAACCUUGGCCGAGAGGUCUGGGUAAUCUUGUGAAACUCCGUCGUGCUGGGGAUAGAGCAUUGUAAUUAUUGCUCUUCAACGAGGAAUUCCUAGUAAGCGCAAGUCAUCAGCUUGCGUUGAUUACNCCCCUGCCCCUUGNANNNNCCGCCC